UUGAAGGAAACAAAAGAUCUACUGUGCUUAAAAAGGGUCAAGGCAGAAAACUUAGUUAAGUGAUUAAAUUAAAAUCAUCCAUUAUUUAAAAACAAUAAUUGCUAGGCAGACAAUUGACACACUGAUUCAUUGUGCAGGAAGUCCUUGGAUUCAUCAUUCCUCGGGCCACAUCUCUUCCUGGAAUUAUGGCUCAGAAAAGUCAAUGUGUUUUCCUGACUGAUAUGUCGUAUUCCAGACAGGCUUCUUUAACUUUUAUUAAGUUCCCAAAAUAAAAUAGGAAGUCCACAUUUUAUAUCCAUGUCACAUUCAAAUUCUAGCUUUUAUUUUAUGUAAAAUUCGGGCUACAAGAUAACAGAAUCCAAAAAAAUAAACUAAAGUAAGUACAUUUCUAUAUUCGUAUCUGGUUAAAUGAGCAUAAUUUUGUUUCUGCUUUCCUGCAGAGAAUAUAGACUUUAGGAAUGUGUUUAAUCUUGGAUGACAGGGUGUGAAUCCUUUUUGAAAGAAUGUGUUGUCUAUUUAAUGAAAUGCUUAGUAUUUUCUAUUGAUGGCUUUCUUUUUCUAUGUUUUUUUUUUUAAGUGGUUAAUAUUAUUUUCAACAGGUUAGUCUCAUCUCCUUCAAGCUAUAAUGUAUGACAAGUAAUUACAUGUCUGGGUAUAGAAUAGAAGUAACUAGAUCUUGAUGCCAACUAUAGGGACUUACCAAGUAAAUAACAACAACAACAACAACAACAACAACAACAACAUCUACUACAAGAGACACAUAUGAUGGUAUUCAUUAUAUCUUUGUUUAAGGUUAAUAAUGUUUGCCUCACUUGAAGUAUCUACAUCGGGGACAAGUGUGACUAAAAUUCUUACUAUCUUCAUGCAUGACCAUUUAGCACGGGAUACAGUCAUGUUUUGGGCUGACCUUGCACUAACAAAUUUGGUCACUGAAAUAAGUAACAGGUCAUGGUCUACGAGGAUCACUGCUUCCUGCUUGUGGUUUAAGAUGUUUGUUCUUAGCUUGCCUUUCCAGAUACUCUUACUCUCUGUGUCCAUUCUUAUCAUCAGUUGUCUUAGUCAUUGUGUUUUUUCAUAGCAAUAGAAAAGCAAUUAAUAUGGAAGCAAACCCAAGUUUUUCAUGAUGUCAUUUAGAAAUUUAAGAUGAAAGGUAUUUUAGAUAUUCUUCCUUGGUAUUGCAUACCCAUUCAAGUGUAGAAUUGUGAUGGACACACCUUUAUUACUUGACCACAUGAUACAUUUAUCCUUACAGAUAAAAAUGUUUUGAAGUACAGGCCAUAUUAAAAACAUAUAGAGUGAAUGGAAUGUGUGCUUUAAGCACACAUUCUAAUGACACUAAAAUUUUAUCUAUGGACUUUAGGUCAAGGGAAACUAAAUCAUUUUUGAUUUUACAUUAAAUUUGACAGUGAAUAUGCAAUAAAUGUUAAAAACAUGAACUUUAGUGCUUAGAAUGAAACUCAUUUUUUUAAAAGAACUGGUACCUUUGCAGUGGUAGUGGUAGUUGAUUUUCGUUUGACAUUAUUUGCUUUAUGUUACAUAAACAUGCUAUUUGAAUGGAUGAUUAGAGAAUGUACUAAUUUUAUUCUAGUAUUCAUUCAUUCUAUAUUCUUUCUACACAACUGCCAGAGUGUCAAAGAAGGAACAAAUGGAACAUUUUCAAAUUGUUUCAAGAAGGUUUUAUAACUAAUUCAAACAAGACAUCUCGGUAUUUUUUUCAUGGAAAUCCUUUCUUGUUUUGGAUAUAGAAAUAUUGAUCUAUUUUCAAUUUUUAAAUAUUUAAAACUGUGGUUAUGCUAAUUUCAAUAAUUACCAGCUAUAUAGGAUGGUUUCUGUUCUCCACAUAUUUGUCAUCACUUUUGGACACAAAGAGAAAUGUUAUAGGUAUCACAAUUCUCAGUCUUAAAUUUUACUGCCAAACCAUAGUAGCAAAAUAUCAUGAUGAUAACAAAAAAGCAGACAUGUAGGACAACGGAGUAGAAUAGAAAACUGGAAAUUUAUGCCUGUGCAAUGAACACACAGCUAAUGCCACCUAAUAUUCAGCAAAGUUAUCCAAACUAACAAUUAGCCUGUGUAACAAUGGACCUUGGGAAACUGGUUAUCCCCAUACAAAAAAAAUAAAAGCAGAUCUAUAUCCCUUACCCUAUACAAAAUAAAAUGAAAGUUGGUCAAAAAACCUUAAUUCCAGUCCUGAAGUUUGAAACUGCUAGCAGAAAUAGGACAGCAUAUUUCAAGACAGAGGCAUAGUAAGAGAACUUCUAAAAAAGAAAUUUAGUGCCACAGAAAAUAAUCCCAGCAAUUGAGAAAUGCAGUUUCAUGUGAUUAAAAUCUUCUGUUAGGCAAAGAAAAUAAUCACCAAUGAGAAGAGACUGCCUAUGAGACUGAAGAAGAAAACUGCUAUCUAUUUACCAAAGAGUAAUUAAUAUCUAGAAUAAUAAAAGACUUGGAAAUUAAAACACCAGAAUUAUCCCCACAUAUCAUCUAAUCAAUAAAAGAUAAAUGGGAUAAAGAAGUGAGCAGACAGUUCUAAAAUGAUGGAAUGAACGUGAACAUGCAUGAAGAAUCUUAGUCACUGUUUUAUUACUGUAAGGAGACACUGUAUUCAAAGCAAAACAGCUUAUUUAAAAAGCACUUAGUCAGACACUUACAGUUUCAGAGGGUGAGUCCAUGUAUUUAUGGGACAAGAACAUGACAGCAGGAAGCCAAGCAUAACUCUGUAGAAGAGAAAGAAAGAUAGGGAGAGAAAGAGAUAGACAGAAACAGAAACAAAGAGAAACAGAGACACAGACUCUUGUAACCUUAAAGCCAACAUACAGAAAAUAGUCAAAUUCAGGGCUGAAAUCAACCAGUUAGAAACAAAGAGAAUCAUACAAAGAAUCAAGAAAACUUAGAACUGGUUCUUUGAGAAAAUCCACAAGAUAGAUAAACUCUGAGACAAACUAAAAGGCACAGAGACAAUAUCUAAAUUUUAAAAUGUCAGACCUGAAAAGGGAGACCUAACAACGGAAACUGAGGAAAUUCCAAAAAUAUCAACCUACUACAAAAGCCUAUACUCUACAAAACAGGAAAAUCUAAUGAAAUUGAAGAUUUUCUAGCCAGAUACAAUGUACUACAUUAAUUUAAAAUCAGGUAGAUUAUCUAAACAGUCCCAAAUUCCCAAGGAAAUAGAAAUAGUCAUCAAAACCGCCC
rnacentral:lncRNA from 1 species